rnacentral:rRNA from 1 species
UACGUAGGGUGCAAGCGUUGUCCGGAAUUAUUGGGCGUAAAGAGCGUGUAGGCGGCCCGAUUAGUCUGCUGUGAAAGUCCAGGGCUCAACCCUGGAAUGCCGGUGGAUACUGUCGGGCUAGAGUCCGGAAGGGGCGAGUGGAAUUCCUGGUGUAGCGGUGAAAUGCGCAGAUAUCAGGAGGAACACCGGUGGCGAAGGCGGCUUCCUGGACACUUACUGACGCUGAGACGCGAAAGCGUGGGGAGCAAACAGG